rnacentral:rRNA from 1 species
UACGUAGGGGGCAAGCGUUGUCCGGAUUUAUUGGGCGUAAAGAGCGUGUAGGCGGCUAUACAGGUCCGCUGUGAAAACUCGAGGCUCAACCUCGAGACGUCGGUGGAAACCGUAUGGCUAGAGUCCGGAAGAGGAGAGUGGAAUUCCUGGUGUAGCGGUGAAAUGCGCAGAUAUCAGGAAGAACACCCGUGGCGAAGGCGGCUCUCUGGGACGGUACUGGCGCUGAGACGCGAAAGCGUGGGGAGCGAACAGG